rnacentral:rRNA from 1 species
UACAGAGGGUGCAAGCGUUGUUCGGAAUUAUUGGGCGUAAAGGGCGCGUAGGCGGUGCGGUAAGUCUGUAGUGAAAUCUCUGGGCUCAACUCAGAGUCUGCUGCAGAAACUGCCGUGCUUGAGUGUGGGAGAGGUGAGUGGAAUUCCCGGUGUAGCGGUGAAAUGCGUAGAUAUCGGAAGGAACACCAGUGGCGAAAGCGGCUUCCUGGUCCAGCACCGACGUUCAGGCACGAAAGCGUGGGGAGCAAACAGG